rnacentral:rRNA from 1 species
CUACGGGAGGCUCCAGUGGGGAAUAUUGGACAAUGGGCGAAAGCCUGAUCCAGCAAUACCGCGUGAAUGAUGAAGGCCUUAGGGUUGUAAAGUUCUUUUAGUUGGAAAGAUAAUGACGGUACCAACAGAAAAAGCCCCGGCUAACUCCGUGCCAGCAGCCGCGGUAAGACGGAGGGGGCUAGCGUUGUUCGGAAUUACUGGGCGUAAAGGGCGCGUAGGCGGAUUAGUAAGUUGGGAGUGAAAGCCCGGGGCUUAACCUCGGAACUGCUUUCAAAACUGCUAGUCUUGAGUGAAGUAGGGGAUGAUGGAAUUCCUAGUGUAGAGGUGAAAUUCUUAGAUAUUAGGAGGAACACCGGUGGCGAAGGCGGUCAUCUGGACUUCAACUGACGCUGAGGCGCGAAAGCGUGGGGAGCAAACAGGAUUAGAUACCCUCGUAGUC